rnacentral:rRNA from 1 species
GACGAACGCUGGCGGCGUGCUUAACACAUGCGAGUCGAACGGAAAGGCCCUGCUUGCGGGGUACUCGAGUGGCGAACGGGCGAGUAACACGCGGGUGAUCUGCCCUGCACUUCGGGAUAAGCCUGGGAAACAGGGUCUAAUACCGGAUAGGAGCCAUUUUUAGUGUGAUGGUUGGAUAGUUUUUUCGGUGUAGGAUGAGCUCGCGGGCUAUCAGCUUGUUGGUGGGGUAAUGGGCUACCAAGGCGGCGACGGGUAGCCGGCCUGUGGGGGUUGACGGCCACCUUGGGACUGAGGUACGGCCCAGGCUCCUACGGGGGGCCACAGGGGGGAAGAUUGCACCAUGGGCGCCAGCCUGGUGCAGCGACGCCGCGUGGCGGAUAACGGCCUUCGGGUUGUAAACCCCUUUCGCUAGGGACGAAGCUUUUUGUGACGGUACCUAGACAAGAAGCACCGGCUAACUACGUG